GGAGGACUAAUGUGCACACGCCGUCAUUCUGUCGUGGUGGGCGUCGCUGGCCUGCUGUUUCGUCCUGGUCAUCGCCCGUCAGCCUGAAGAGCGUUCUGCAGUGUCCUCGCGAGGUUCAACAUCUGCUCCAGACCCACCCCGCUGAUGGGCAGCAACUGCAGGACCUGGCCCAGAGCUCCCCAUGGGGCACGGCGAGGCGUGUGACUGUGGUUUACUGCUGCUGGUGGCCCUCCUCCCUGGCCCUUUCCCCAGAGAGCUCAUCACGCUGGAGAUGUGGCCCCAGGCCUGUGUCUCGAGAUUGGGUGCCCCACAAGUGCAGCUCUGUGCCUCCUUCACCUGGACUGCUCAGGGUCUGCACAUGGAGCUCUGCCCCAGCUGUUGGACUUUGAACAUCUCCACACUUGCAGAGCAGGGGAAGCCCCAUGCACAGCGGCUUGCUGGGUGACCCUCGCAGCCAGAGAGGCUAUGCAGAGAGAUCCUGAGCUGCUCUCAGACAGGGCGUGCUCUUACGUUCUGGCUCACUUCCUUACAGGUACACAGCUCCGGGAGACUACCCCUGCAAUGGGCUAGGUGGACACCUGGCACGUUUUUGUAUCCAGCAGAGAGGAAUUGUGCAGGGAAGGGGGCCAGCGAGGCCCCUGGGGAGGAGCACGUGGGCAAUGAAAUGACAACGUAUGUGACGGAUUUGAAAGCUGGAA